AAAGCCCAAGUAUAUCAAAUUAUGAAUCAAUGUUUGUAACGGUAAAUGUGCAUUAAACAAAUACAAUAUUCAACUAUAUCCUUUGCACAGGGUUGAGGAAGCUAGCUCCUGAUAAAAGAAUGCAGAAGGCAAUUAAGUGCAAGAUGACAGAAACUACAUGUUUCCUUUCAGCACCAGCUCUAGAUGCGAACAUUUUUUUACUCAUCAACUGCUUUCGAGCUCCAUUGACCAGAUGGCUAUGCUGAGUUCAUUCAACUCUUCCAGGAAGACAUUAGCAUUUGACAUAUAGAUUCAUCACAGACCGCCAUUAAAGGGUUUAAUCUCCUUUCACAGGCCCUCACAGACAGAGCCUGCCACACAACACUGCCCAGAGCCUCAUUGAUCAGUGGCAGCAUCUUACACAUACAAAGCUGCAUCCCAAAUAAAAGUACGUUUCAAGGUCUGCAAACUGGUGAGCUCAAGUGAUUUGCUGGAGAGUUCAAGAUCCGAGCCAACGGGGAAGGGGAACGGGGAACGGGAAAGGAUUAGUGAUGGUGAUUGAAACUCCGAUCAAAGAGGCACAUUUUUAAGGGACGUUUGAAGCUGAGAGAGAGAGAAAGAGGGAGAGAAUCCUAAGGCUGUUGAUAGUUUACUGUGUCACAUGGGCUUCAAUGUCACAAAACCCUUCUGUAAAACAACAUCACAUUGCAAAUCUGGAUCACCAGCAAUCAGCCUUCAGUCAAUAUAAAGCAACAGAAUACAUUAAGCUGUAAGAUGUAUGGUAAAAGUCAUUCCAUGCUGCAUGUUUCAUUGCUCCAGAUUAAAGAUUGUUUCCCAAUUUGCUCAAUUAUUAUUCAUUCCCUUGCCGCCGGUUUGCAAUGCCUAAGCUUGGCAUGGUUAAAGUCGUCACUGAGAACAUACAGAAUUGAUCUUAUAUCAUCCCCAAACUUUUUUUUAAAUGUGGUUUCUCCAGCAGGAUGCAGACUACUUAGAAGUAAUCAAAACCAGUGUGCGUCAGAUGCAGUAAAAAAUAUUCAUAAGCAUUAAUGGUAAUCAGAUUGUCUGGGAAAAGAAACUACUGCUCUGUUCUUAGAAACCCUUGCAGCUGAUGAUUGGGGUUGACAAGUAUUUGUGUUAAAUCACCUAUCUGAUGGUAUUGUGAAAUAGAAACAUUUUUUUUUCUAAUUGAUAGCUGAUGUUACAGGGAUUUUAAACCCACACAAGGGAAAUGGAGACAAACAGAUUUUUAGCUGACUUUAGUUUAGUUUAGAGACACAGCGCGGAAACAGGCCCUUCAGCCCACUGGGUCCGC